CACAGGGAAACUUGUGCUAAUACCGGAUAAGCCCUUACGGGGAAAGAUUUAUCGCCGAAAGAUCGGCCCGCGUCUGAUUAGCUAGUUGGUAGGGUAAUGGCCUACCAAGGCGACGAUCAGUAGCUGGUCUGAGAGGAUGAUCAGCCACAUUGGGACUGAGACACGGCCCAAACUCCUACGGGAGGCAGCAGUGGGGAAUAUUGGACAAUGGGGGCAACCCUGAUCCAGCCAUGCCGCGUGAGUGAUGAAGGCCCUAGGGUUGUAAAGCUCUUUUGUGCGGGAAGAUAAUGACGGUACCGCAAGAAUAAGCCCCGGCUAACUUCGUGCCAGCAGCCGCGGUAAUACGAAGGGGGCUAGCGUUGCUCGGAAU
rnacentral:rRNA from 1 species